AGACAGAAUGAUAGAGGAGAACUCAGUGUUCAGGAACAACUCACACACUUCCCCAUGUGACGCCACCAUUAUGUCAAUAUUUGCAAUGUACCUGUACACUUAUACUCAAGGCAGCUUGUUUAGCGUGAUGGAGAAACCCUGUAAGGUGGGCGGUGGCGGUGACGAUCAGUUUACUGAAAACAAUCAGCUGUUUGAGAACUGAGUUGUGACGCUGGUCCUUGGGCACAAGUCAAGAAAACAGAAAGUGGUGAUAGGCAACGAGUGCCUGUGUUUCAGGUAAACAUUGGAUGUGCUGACAGGACAAGGAGUGUCCUACAUCACACUCUGUUCACUACUUUGGAUCCCUACGGGGGCUGGAUCCCGACGGGCGCUGGAUCCCUACGGGCGCUGGAUCCCUACGGGGGUUGGAUCCCUAUGGGGCCUCGAUCCCUAUGGGCGCUGGAUCCCUACGGGGGCUGGUCAACAGUAGUCCACUAUAGUGUGAAUAGGAUGUGUCGGUGUUUCAGGUCAACAGCAGUCCACUAUAGUGUGAAUAGGAUGUGUCGGUGUUUCAGGUCAACAGUAGUCCACUAUAGUGUGAAUAGGAUGUGUCGGUGUUUCAGGUCAACAGUAGUCCACUAUAGUGUGAAUAGGAUGUGUCGGUGUUUCAGGUCAACAGUAGUCCACUAUAGUGUGAAUAGGAUGUGUCGGUGUUUCAGGUCAACAGUAGUCCACUAUAGAGUGAAUAGGAUGUGUCGGUGUUUCAGGUCAACAGUAGUCCACUAUAGUGUGAAUAGGAUGUGUCGGUGUUUCAGGUCAACAGUAGUCCACUAUAGUGUGAAUAGGAUGUGUCAGUGUUUCAGGUCAACAGUAGUCCACUGUAGUGUGAAUAGGAUGUGUCGGUGUUUCAGGUCAACAGUAGUCCACUAUAGUGUGAAUAGGAUGUGUCAGUGUUUCAGGUCAACAGUAGUCCACUAUAGUGUGAAUAGGAUGUGUCGGUGUUUCAGGUCAACAGUAGUCCACUAUAGAGUGAAUAGGAUGUGUCGGUGUUUCAGGUCAACAGUAGUCCACUAUAGUGUGAAUAGGAUGUGUCGGUGUUUCAGGUCAACAGUAGUCCACUAUAGUGUGAAUAGGAUGUGUCGGUGUUUCAGGUCAACAGUAGUCCACUAUAGUGUGAAUAGGAUGUGUCAGUGUUUCAGGUCAACAGUAGUCCACUAUAGUGUGAAUAGGAUGUGUCAGUGUUUCAGGUCAACAGUAGUCCACUAUAGAGUGAAUAGGAUGUGUCGGUGUUCCAUUUAGAUGGUUAGAUGGGAGAUUGACGGUAUUGUUUAAUUGGGUAAACUAAUGCCCCUAAUUGACAUUAGCAGGAGUGUGGGUGACCAUUGUUCCCUUGUUGAGGAAACCUACAGAACUAGUGGCACAAGAAUCUCUACAUAGUUAACCUCUUAUUUUCUGUAAGGCAUCCAGUGACUACUUGGCUGGUUGGCAUUUAUUAGGAUGACUCAUGUACUGGAGGCACCUCUGCAGGGUAAUCAUCAACUGACACAGCCACAAAGUUGUAAAAUCGUAUUUUAAACCUACCGCUAACCACACUGCUAACGUUAUGAUUAACCCUAACCUUAUAAUAUUUAUUUUUAAAUGUCAAGAAUUUUUACAAUAUAUAGUCAAUUUUGCAGCCCUGCCUCCAGGACAAGAUUCAUCCCAAUAAACGUCAACCUGCGCCUGAAGGUCUACAUUCCAAGUGCGUGACAACACCUGAUGUAAUGUAGUAGAGGAAGGACAGGUGAGGUGAGUUUUUGCUCAUGAGACACACUGACUGUCUGGAAAAAGUGAGAGACGCUAAAAGGACACUGCUUACCUGCAAAAUGACAAACGAAAAAAGAAACAUGACCUUAACCCUGACCUUAACCCUGACCUUAACCUAAUUUGAACCAAUUCUGAAAUGAAAUAUUGAUUUGCAGGUCAGGAGUGUAUCUAGCUAUGUCAGCCAUUAUGACGACCAGUAACGAUACUUUAGUUCAAUUUUAAGCCCAGAUUGUGUUAAAAUAAAAACAAUCUUAUGAUAAAUGUAUAAGAAUUUGACUUUAGAGAACGUCAAGUCUGACCAUGUCGUGACAGCCAUCUUGACAUUGUUCAGGCUGUAGUAGCACAGUAGUAACACUGGUGUUGACACGUGUCCAUAUAUCUGGAUGUUCACACUUCCCCUUUAAAGUACCAGAGACCACACACUGGUUUAAUAAUUAAAUGCUUCAGUCAGUGAUAGAAGCCCUGUUGUCGUUCACUCAUACUAUGUUUACUUAUCUGGUUUAAUACUGGGCCUGUAGCUACAGUAUAGCCACUCCUCCAUGCUGUAAGGCUACUGUGGCUCGGUUGGAGCACGGUUUGCAUAUGUGACCUCAUCCCUGCGGGAAUAGCUUGGUGCUCCCUCAGUCACAUAAUAACACAACAGAUGCUCGGCAGAAGCAUCCAUAGCUACAGUGCCCUUAGUCUAUCUGGCUUUCACCCUCGAGUCACACGUCCACCUCUGGAAUCUAUGGCGCUACGGUUGAUUUGUUGAACAUCUAUAAAUGCUUCCCUGUUGAAAGUCAACAGACAUGCUGUUGACGUCUUGCUGAUAGUCUAUUGGUAGUUUGUUGAGUAUCCAUCUACAGAUGGAAUAUCCAAGUAAAGUGUCACCUUUUCUUUUACAAAGCACUUAGGAGGAGAACAUACUAUCGUCCAAGUCAACAGGAAGCUAUGAGAUGUUAAAACCUGAGCUAUAGCUAACCUAGUUUCCAUAGUUAUGACCUC